rnacentral:rRNA from 1 species
UACGUAGGUGGCAAGCGUUGUCCGGAUUUACUGGGCGUAAAGAGCGCGCAGGCGGUCGUUCAAGUCGCGUGUGAAAGCCCCCGGCUCAACUGGGGAGGGUCACGCGAUACUGAUCGACUCGAAGGCAGGAGAGGGUAGUGGAAUUCCCGGUGUAGUGGUGAAAUGCGUAGAUAUCGGAAGGAACACCAGUGGCGAAGGCGGCUACCUGGACUAACACUGACACUGAGGCACGAAAGCGUGGGGAGCAAACAGG